GUAGUCAUGGCCGAGAGGUUAAGGCGAUGGACUUGAAAUCCACUGGGGUCUCCCCAUGCAGGUUUGAACCCUGCCGGCUACG